CUCCAGCUUUGUUCUUUUUUCUCAGGAUUGCUUUAGCAAUUUGGGGUCUUUUGUUGGAUAUGGAUAUACAUUACUGAAACAGUCCCCAUAUUCCUGGAUGUUUUGAUUGUUUCCAACAUUUUGCUAUUAUCCACUGCGCUGCAAUAAACAACCUUGCUUGCUCAUAUCCUCAAUUAUUUCCUCAGGAUGAAAUGCCAAAUAUGUAAUUUCUGGACUGAGAGAAUGUGCCUUUUUAAAUAUUUUAAUACAGAUUACCCAGAUGUACCUGAGAAAGGUUCUACAAAUUUAUGUCUCCGGGAGCAGUGAAUGAAGAGGCCUAGCUUCCCUAGAUCCUUACUGAUAUUAACAUUCUAAUUAAUUUUCAUCAGCCUUAUAUUCUAAAAAAAGUACCUUGUUUUAAUUUGCAUUUCUGAUUACUUUGUAUUCAUCAUAAUUAUUCAUUUUUUGAAUUGUGAUCCAGAAAUAGGGUUUGUAUGGUUUCAGCGUUUUGGAAAUCACUGAGAUGUACUUCAUAUUUUGCAGCUGUGCUGUAAAGGUUAGUCACAGCAGGUCUGCAAUUAACCUGAGCUGUUUGGUUAAAUUAAAGCUCUUGCUUGACACCGACUCCUGGUCAAAGGGUCAAAGCAUGAAAUGUUGAUGUAUAGUGUGUCUAUGUAACCAUGAGUCCAAAGAGUUUCUGGGCAGUUUGACCUAGCUUGUCAGCAUUGUUUAUUAAUAACAAUGAGAUUGAAGAGUUGCACCUGGUCUUGGUGUGAUACUCCCCCGCCCCCGCCCCAGGGUUCUGCUGGUUCUGCAGCAGGGCUAUGCCUAGGUGACUAGCAAAAUAUAAACAACCUCAGCAAAGACUUCGUUUUGGUCUCACUGGUUCUGAAGUGUUCUGUGCACACAUCAGUGGUUCCGGAUCCAUAAGACAUCUGGCCUGGCCCUUACAGAAAGAGGACAAUAGGAGCCUGCACCUGGCCUCUCCAGACCCCUGCUAUUCUUUUCAAGAAGUAGGCAUCGAUGAUAUGCUUUUGCACUCUGGCCUUCUGGAAGAGCAGUUCGCAGCAUGGACUCAGAAGAUGGGAUUGUCUAGGCACCAUCCUGGCUCUUCUGUAAGUUACCUAACUUCUCUGGGCCUCAGUUUUCUCAUCUGUAAAAUGAAGAUAAGAAGAAUUCCUGUCUUACAGGGUUGUUCAUGGAGUGCGUGAGUCAAUAUGUAUAAAGCACUUAGAAAUGUCACACAGUUUUGUGUUUAAUAUUUGUUCGCUAUUAUCAUGAAAGACAAUUUGGCAGAGUGUACGAAUUUUUGGUUACAAUCUUUUUCUCUAAAAAGUCUAGCUGUUGCUCCAUUUUCUUCUGAAAGCGGAUGCUGCAGAGAAGUCUGAAACCAAAGUCACUUUGUGGCCUUACAGCAUAGUGGUGAAGAGCUCUGCUCUGACUGCCUUGGUUUAUAUCCUGGCUCUUCAACCUCGACUAGAUGUGUGACCUUGACCUCUCUAAUCCAUGCUGUCUCAUCAUCUGUAAGGUGGGGCAACUCAUAGACCUCCCUGUCCUGGACCCUUUGCAUUUGUUGGCCAAACCAUCCUUGCUCUCUUUUGUAUGUUUACUUUUUCUCACGCCAACCUUUUAAUUCUGGCGGGACUUCUAAUCAGAGUACCGGCGGCCCCUGGCCAAUUAUCUUACUCCAUCCUCUUGGCCACUGUGAUGGAUCCCAGGGCGAGCACAGGCACAAAAACAACUGGAGCCCUUCUGUGGCGAAACCAGAAGAGAGACUCUCUCUUUCUUCCGCGGUUACUGAGCUAGGAUAACGUGAGCCCUGAGCUGCCUGUGCUGCGUCUGGAGGAAGCCGGUCUGCUACCACGGGGAAUGAAAGAGCUGAGGCAGCUGGAGAGCAAAGGCAUCCCGACAGAAUCGCUUGAGUUCCCGAAUCCGGUCAACGGAAAGGCCAGCACCCCCACUUGAUUGGAAUGCCGUGAGGUCUAAAGGAGAGAAUUCACGUCAAACACCAAGUAGCGUGCCGAACACCAGCGCUGGCAGGUACGCGCUCUACUGCGACUUCUCGGUCACAGACUCGUCGCAAAGCCCGCGGGGAGAGCAACAGCUCUGCAGGAUCCCAGAAACCCCUGCUGCUCAGAACAGGGCGUCGGCCUCGCCUGGGAGCCUGUUGGAAAUGCAGAGUCUCAGGCCCCAUCCUGGACCCACCGCACCCGAAGGAACUUUUUCACAACAUCCCAGGGUGGCGGGGCGGGUGGGGGUUGUGUGCACAUUAACAUUUGAGAAGCUCCGUUCCAGAGCGCAGGCUCAGUUUAACCUUUUUAUUCAUAAUCCAUUUUAAAAAUUUGCCCGCGAAGUCAUUCUUUACAGCAAAAGCUCCCCAGAUCCUCACCAGACCAGAUCAUGUAACGCUCUGACUCUCUUUACUACCCACUUCACUUUCGUGUGCAUUUUCCCCUUAGUAUAAUGGUAUGACCAUAAGGUGGGGGCUCCAUUGCCAGGGCACCCAGGAGUCUUACAUCCACAUUCACACUUUAGUGAAACCUUAAGUGUACUUAAUCUCUCUUGCUGUGUCGUCCCCUUGCCUCGCCUUUGCGAGAAUUAGAAAAGUUGCCACAGUUGUGUCAGCAGCUUCUGUUUUGUUCUUCUCCUCAUAAGAGCUCAAUGGUUUGAAUGCUUUCUCCCGAGUUUGGAAACUUAACUCAGUUUGUUUCUACUCACUAACCUUGGUAUAUUUUCUUUCUCCAAUAUUGGAUCAAUAUUACCCACCCAACAAUAACGAAAUAUUAGUGGCUAACAUUGGUUAUUGCACACCAUUGAUAUGGUUGAUCUCAUAUUAUUCUCACCCUAACUCCGUGAGGUGGGUUCGAAUAUUCCCAUUUUGUGGAUGAGGAAACUCAGUGGGAGUUGCGAUCUUUCUCUUUCUCCUUCGGAGACUUACUAUUCUCAUGGCAAAAUACUAUUUGUACUAUGAUGGGUACAUAGAAGUUCAGUAUACUAUUUUGUCUACUUUUAUUUAUCUUUGAACAUUUCUAUCAGGAAAAGGUUCAUAAAACAAAAGUGCUAUCUGUGAUAGCGGAUGACUGCCCGCUGCAUGGCUCCAGCUCCGGCCUCGGACCUCUCUUCUGAGCUCCCUCCAGAUUCACAUAUCCAGUGACUGUUUUGCCCUCUUCACCCUUGAACAGCUCACGAGCAUCUGAGAGCUAAUGCGCUGAACCUGCACCCCCACUGUUCCCUCCCCGAAGCUCUCCGCUACCCAUCUUUCCCACUGUAAUUAACGCGUCAGCAUAUGCCCUGCACUCAGGAUGGACCCAGGAAUUGUUUGGGGCUGUCCCCUCUCCACUUCCUCCUAUACCCAAUCCACCACCAAGUUCUGCCAGUUGUUACCUCUAGAGCAUGUCCUAACUCCAUUCACUUCUCUGUCUGCAGUGUCAGCCACCACCAUUGUCCAAAUCAUCAUCACCCUUCACACUGCCCUGGCCCCCUCAGUGAGCUUCCCAGUUCUGUUCUUACCCGCUUCAGGGACCAGACAACUCUUUAAAACAUAAAUCACAUCAGCCACCUACUUAGAACCCUUCAAUGAAUUCCCAUGUCCCUUAGAAUAAAAUCCAGACUCCUCCCCCAGUCUUAGGUGGCCUUGUGUGUCUCGCUCUAAUACCUCUUCCAUCACAUCUGGCGCCGCAUUCCCCACCUUCCUCACCUCCGUCCUCUUUCAGUCUCUCUGCUGCCCCACGUGCUCUUAUGCUGCAGGGCUACACACCCCUGCCCGCUCUCUAUUUUUCGGUUUUCUCUUACUCAUCAUUUGUAUCUCCAGCUAUAUAUUCCUUCUUUAGAGAGACUCUCCCCUAACCAGCCAAUCAGAACUGGCUUCUCCUGGGCCAUCUUUAUAGUGCCAGUUUUCAGUUACGGCAACCAUCACAAUUUGUGAUUAUAAGUUAAUUUGCGUUUAAGGGUACAAUGGCUGCCUCUUACACUCUGAGGAUAGAGAAUUCGAAGGCCUUUAGAUCCAGCACCUACCACAGUGACUGGUGCAUAGGUGUUCAUGAAGCAUGUGGUGAAGAAGUGAAUCUCCUUGUCACUUUCAUCUGCAUUCUGGGAAAGCAUCUCAAGGAUGUCUUUCACAGCAGUGCAUAAAUUUUCUACACCAUCCUAUUCUUUACUGAUUGCAUAUGAUUCUAAUUCUGCUGCCUUUGGAAUUUUCUUACAGCCUUUCUCUGAGUCAACUAUCUUCUCAACUUUUGCUCUUCAUCUAUCUAUGACCUUUUGCUUCUCAUGCACAGAGGUUAUGAUUAUUUGCAAUCUUUUGAAGAUGCCAAAUAGUUUGACUUUUUCUUCUGGCUCUGAAAGCAAAUAAUUUUCCAGAAGCAUUUCCCUGCUCUGAGUCUUUCAACUAUUUCUUUUAUCCCAUAGUCUUUGUAGACCCCAAUUUGUUUUUUCUCUUAAUUCAUAUGCAAAUAGUCAGCUCUGGUGGUCUAGUGGUUAAGAUUGGGCGCUCCCACCACCGUAGCCCAGAGUUCAUUUCCUGGUCAGGGAACCACACCACCCAUCUGUCGGCUAUCAUAUUGUUGUGGCUGUGUGUUGCUGUGAUGCUGAAAGCUAUGCAACCAGUAUUUCAAAUACCAGCAGGGCCACCCAUGGUGGACAAGUUUCAAUGGAGCUUCCAGGCUGAGAGAUUAUGAAGAAGGACUUGGCCACCCACUUCUGAAAAAAUUGACCAUGAAAACCCUAUGAAUAGCCAACCAAGGAAAAUCACUACGGUUAAAAUAGCAGGUAUUUAUUUGGGCGAUUAGAAUUGCAAUUUGGGAGACACAGAUUCAGGUAGAAACCCAAAACGUGUUCCAAUUAUAGGAGAGGGGCUUAGGGUUUUUAUGGGAAAAAGUGAGGAUGAAGUGAGUUAUAUUAAAGAAGAGUUCAUUGGUGCUAGAUAAGGUAAGGCUAGAUUUGUACUUCAUUGAU